GACGAACGCUGGCGGCGUGCUUAACACAUGCAAGUCGAACGGUGAAGCUCCAGCUUGCUGGAGUGGAUCAGUGGCGAACGGGUGAGUAACACGUGAGCAACCUGCCCCUGACUCUGGAAUAAGCGCUGGAAACGGCGUCUAAUACUGGAUAUGAGAAGGGUCCGCAUGGACACUUUCUGGAAAGUUUUUCGGUUGGGGAUGGGCUCGCGGCCUAUCAGCUUGUUGGUGAGGUAAUGGCUCACCAAGGCGACGACGGGUAGCCGGCCUGAGAGGGCGACCGGCCACACUGGGACUGAGACACGGCCCAGACUCCUACGGGAGGCAGCAGUGGGGAAUAUUGCACAAUGGGCGAAGGCCUGAUGCAGCGACGCCGCGUGAGGGAUGACGGCCUUCGGGUUGUAAACCUCUUUCAGCAGGGAAGAAGCGAAAGUGACGGUACCUGCAGAAGAAGCACCGGCUAACUACGUG
rnacentral:rRNA from 1 species